AGAAUUUCAAAAUGGAAUAGCAAAAAAGAAAGAAGAAAUAUCCUUUAUUCGCGGAAACAACGAGAGUCUGAUUUGAGAAUGUCGCGUGCCUGCACGUUUCUCAGGUGUGUACGUUAAACAUAAGAGACGUAUCGCUACGCACAAGACUCGAAUAAUCUACCAACUGUAAGAUUAUUAUUCCCUUUUUUCUUCGUCUCGUUGUAUCUUUCUUUGCCAAAUCUCGUUUUACUCAGAGAUGUUUUAUUUAAGUGCGAUCUACCUUCCUGACCCAAGAACAAUAGAAUGACUUUCUGAAAUUGAAAUUCGAAUCACGUUUCCGGAUAACAUUACAACGUCAGCCAUUCAACGCAAAACUGAAGAAUCGAAUUCCAUGAGUCGUCUGAAAGUUCUUUUUCUCUUAUCCGUUAUAAAUUUUUCUUCAUUUCCGUUUAUUCUGAUAUUACAUAAAUCAUUGAUCAUAUGAAAAAUCUUGGUUGAAACAGAGCGCAAAAUUUAAUUAUCCUUAAAACUCUAUGGAUACGUUGAAAAUUCAGAAAGAGCAGAUGUCGUCGAUGGGGAAAACGAGAUUUUGUAGCAGGUGUAGAUCGGACGACAGGUGAACGUGGCACGAUUCUUGAUUAUCUCGAAACGACGUGAAGAGAAGGCGUUAAAUCGAAAAGUCAUUGCUGCGGCUUCUCGAUAUAUCAUCGAAUAUUAUCUAUAUUAUAUAUCGUAUAUACAUGUAUAUAUAAAGAUUUUUAUGGAGACUCGAGGGUUGCUUAGAGUUAAUAUCUUAUGACGGAAACCUGAGAAAGGGAUGAAGUCCGACAAAUUCACGUCCUUUCUUUUCAAGUCGAGACGUCUGGUUGGAGCUCUAUAAGAAUUAAUGAUGUUAUACUAUCGAUCCAAACGAUACGGAGAAAUAAAUUAGUUAAUUUAAAAAAUAAACAAAAACAAAAAACAAAUAAAAGCAAAAUAAACAAAAGGAGACUUGUCUUUUUGAUUAUUAUGCUUUAUACGUUCAUAUCUUUAUAUACUUUGGGUUUUCCCAGGACAAAGCGAUUUCCGAGUUGAUAUCAUGACUUCUGGUAAAUAAGCUGCGUAGAAGACAACGAACGAUCUCGCUGAAUACUAAAAGGCUCCCCUUGGCUCGUCCAUGAGAACAGUGCGUGGUCGAGCUUCUCGAAAAUAUUCUUCAUGUUAGGUAUACGAGUAUCUUCUUCGUCAGUCUUUUUCAGUAUUUUUUCAUUCAGAGUUAACUAGAAUUAUAAUGGAGAAUAUGACCACGUGAUAUUUAACU